GAUGAACGCUGGCGGCGUGCCUAAUACAUGCAAGUCGAGCGAACGGACGAGAAGCUUGCUUCUCUGAUGUUAGCGGCGGACGGGUGAGUAACACGUGGAUAACCUACCUAUAAGACUGGGAUAACUUCGGGAAACCGUAGCUAAUACCGGAUAAUAUUUUGAACCGCAUGGUUCAAAAGUGAAAGACGGUCUUGCUGUCACUUAUAGAUGGAUCCGCGCUGCAUUAGCUAGUUGGUAAGGUAACGGCUUACCAAGGCAACGAUGCAUAGCCGACCUGAGAGGGGGAGCGGACACACUGGAACGGAGACACGGGAGAGAAUCCGACGGGAGGCAGCAGGGGGGAAGAGGGGACAAGGAGCGCAAGCCGGAGAAAGAAAUACAGAGGGGGUGAAGAAGGCAUACGGAGUGGAAAGCACGUUGGGGGGGAAAGAAAAGAAGCAGGUGAAAAGCCGGCGGUUGUGACGGGACCGAAAGAAAAAGCACCGGCUAACUUCGUG
rnacentral:rRNA from 1 species